ensembl:lncRNA
UUAUCAACUAUGUGUAAAACUGCAGUUUCAUGUUACAAGUGAACUACGCUCUAUUUGCAUUUUUAUUCUGUGAUACUAACCAACCAAGGAAGUGAGUGGGAAUAGAUGCUGAGGAUUAAAUAGAUGAAGACAAGAUACGAAGUGGUCACUUCGUCAUUGUUUUUAAUAUUCUGAUGAUCGGUGCUUCCUUAAGUAGCCUGGUAACCACUGGGACUCAGAGAAUGAUCACUCUAGUAAUUAGGGACACCCCCUCCCAUAUUAUGGUACAUUUAAAGCACUCGAGAUGGCUUAGUGGGCUUUAUAAUCAACCACAUGUAGAUUUGUAUGCCAUUCCUGGCACUUAAUAGGUUUUAGGGCAAAUUAUGGACAGAACCUCAGGUUCUCGGUGUGUAAUGUAGAGUCAUAAAACCAACCUUGUGGAGUGGUCAUGGGAUUAGAGCCCAUAAAAUUCCUGGAUAUUGCAUAGUGUAUGCAGCUCAAGAAACAUUAUCCCUCUUAGGGCUGCUUGCAUUUCUACCAGGUCUUGUAAUUUAGGAGGCUUUGACAUUCAGUCCAGGCUGAGGAACUUCAACUUCAGCAAAGUCACUGAAGAAUUUUAAGGUGUGCUGUUACCCGAGGAAACUAAAUUUCAGAAGAUGAUAUUUGCUGACUCUGUCUGUCAUGAAUUAGAUCGUAUAAUGAGAGCCAUUUUCUUUAUGCUGUAGGUGAGAACCCUGAGGCCCAAGGAAAUCAUAUAACUUUCUCAGGACCCCGUGGUUUGCAGCUGGCACAGCCAAACCCAGGACCCAGUCUUCCUACUCUUGACUGUGCCUUUUCUGCCACAGUUGCUCAUGGGCAAGUGAACCACUUAAAAAAGGCUGUCAUACUUGUCCAAGAACUAAGUGAAGGAGGGCCGACAUAUUUCUUAGAAGUGGGAAUGGCUGGAAACAAGUGUUGAUUAGACCUGGCGACCGACUGGCUCAGCACUCCUCCGUUGAAGAAGGAGGUCAAGGGUCCAAGCUUUCCAUCCCGGCCAGAUGGCCAUACAAUUAAUUAAACUCAAAUUAGCAGAAUUUGUUGGUUUUGUGGUUUCCCAAUGAAUUUAAAGGGACCACCCUGUCAGUUGCAAGUAUUGACAGUAGGAGAAGGUGCCUGUGCUGAAGAAAUAUAUUUGAGACUCUAAUGCCGAAGAAGGAGAGUUGAAACCGUUGUGCUCUGUAGAAGUAUAUGCACCUCUGUGUGUGCGUGUGCUCAACGGGAUCUUGUGGCAUAUUCCCAGGUCAAGGCCUUACUGCCCAGUUAUCAUUCUGCCCAGUUAUCAUUACAAACUGUUCUACCUCCGCCAGAAAGAAGCGCUGUUCCCAUAGAUUCUUCCGUGUCUGUGUGUUUGUUUUGUUGGAUGGAUCCUGCUGCGGCCCAGAGAGACAGACUUUGCUGGGCCCUGUUUUGUAAACAAAUCUGUUCACGCACACUCUCUUCUAUCAUUGUAUGUGUACACUGGCUCUGCUUUUCCCACCAGACACACAGAAGCCUAGGAAUUUAGAAACUUGUUUUCGUCUAGAAGUGUGCAGGCAUCCAAGAAAAAUGUACACACGCAUCUUAAAUGUGCUCAUCUACCCCACCUAAGUGUUUGACCCUUCUUGAUUCUAACUUGGGGCCGUGAACUCGGCAUGAACAUCGCAGCCCACUACACACACAGGGUCCCCCUAGGGGGGCAUCCUUAAGCUGCCACUAACCUAUUGAUGAAGCUCAGUAAAUUGAGAAAGCUCUUUUUCACCCUUAAAGUUCGUGUGGGCCAUAACUGGAAUUAGUCCACCAAGAUGAUAAAGCAUGGUACCGGUUUUUCCAAGGAGAGGUGAAGACCCUUUCUCAGAUUGGAAUAUGGACUUGUCAUAUGUAUCCAUACAGUCACUUCCUACCUGUAGUUUUUUGGAUAUUUCAUUUACUAUUCCAGCCAAGUUCAAGUUUUAUGACAGGAAGUAUGUGAAUGGUUAUAACAGGAGUAAAUAACAUUUGAUUUUAUGAUUACAGUACAGGAAGUAACUUUUCACACCAAAUCAAUCUUGGAGGGGAAAAAAAAGUGCCUGCUUAUAAAUGUAACGUACAUAAAUUUCCCAAAAGCUCUGCUCUCUUAAGUGGAAAUAAAACCAGAAUGUGUUCUUAUUUCUUUCUUUUCCUAAUUUUUCUUAUCAACAAAUGUCUUUGUUUUGGGAAGAGGUAUUUUCCAGUAUUUUACUGUGACCCAAUAUGACAGGGACCCAUUAAAAAAAUUCUAAGUGAAAAUAAUAAGGCCAAACUUUAUAGAAUAAAUAGCAUGAAGAGCUUGAAUACCCUUCUUUUCCCUUGAAGAGUAAAAUAAGCAAAUUAUCAACCACCAUCGAAGCCAAGGCAGGCCCCUAGCUUUUAAUCCUGCCGAUUUCCAUGUUCCAUAAACACGUGGGAAAGAGAGUUUCAGCAGCUCUGCAGAUGAGCAAGUUUACGAGAAAAGAAAAAAUUGAGCAGAAAUUCAAUUAUGUCAUCAUAGGAGAACUUACAUAGAGGCUUUGUUUUUCCCUGACUUGAAGAAAGAAAACAGGAAGGAAAGAUUUUUUUCUCUCAUCUUUCUCUGCUUCUGAAAGCCUGAGGCGCUUGUAGUGAGAAGCCGUCUAACUCACACAUUCCUGAGGACUCAUAUUAUACACAUAUGUGUCCCACAAGUGAGUGGAUGCCUGACAGUCUGAUCACGCUACCCGAGAAGGGCUUUGCAGUUCUAGUGCGGGCACAGCCACCGUGGGGCGCAGCCUUGGCAGAGGUUCGAGCCUUCCCUCUGGGACAGGAAGCCUCACUUCACCACACUGACUGAAAACCGGAUCUCUAAGAUCCCUUCUACCUCUAAAACUCAGUACCACACAUUUUGCAAAGAAGUCGUUUAAGCAAAUUACACAAAACUGUUCUCGGGAACAAACAAAUGUGUUAGAGUUACCGGUACUUAGUUCCCAUUGGUGUUUUUUGAAUUCUGCAGAGAAUAUAUUUGCAAGUGGCACGCGUAAAAACCUGCCUUGAGUAAUAUUCAAGGCAGUUUCGUAAGAGAGGUUUCACCUGACACUCAUCGAACCCUGGUGCAAGGGGCAGACGUGCUGAGGGAUGGCUCCAGCAGAGCCGGCAAGGGCAGGCUCCCUGGAUUCAAAUGCCACCUCCAACCACCUGCUGAUGGCGUGACUCUGGACAAGUCUUUCAACUCCUAGGGGCCCUGUUUCCUUAUCGGUAGGAAGGGAAUAACUAAAGAAUCUCGAGUUGCCAGGGGGAUUAAAUGAACAGAUCCCGAGUAGUUUCUUGGUAGUGCCUAAACCGGUCCUGGGCGUCAGUUGGCUUUUAGCACAGGCUAUUAAACCGGCUUAAAGAGGUUGGGUGAUCUGAACCAGGGCAAAGAGCAGCUCAGAAAAGAGGUGGGAGUGGAACACGAGGCCCCCUGACUUCCCGUGUUGGGUCACGUGCCCUUCCUGCUUGAGGCCACACCCCCUCCUUUCUAUAACAGUGCCGCCAAAGAGUGCACUCCUUCCCGUGUUUAAGAGCAAACUUUCAGUCAGUGACCACUAUGAAGAACAUUUGUGACACGGUUUUGUUCCGUUUGGGGAAGUGAGGGGACGGUGGGCCCAGGGGUCUGGAGAGCAGACACUGAUUCUGUAAACUUGGGCUUGAAUGAUGUCCACAGCAGAACAAAUUACAGCAAGACCUGAGUGUCCCUAUAGUCUGAUCCCAUUUUAAAUACCCAACCUUAGGAAUGGUCCUUCCCCCUCCCCCAUUUACAGGCGUUCCUAGCAGGCCACAGCUUCUUGGCGACAGCCACGUCUGUUGGGUUCACAUUCUCUGUGUUAUUCCCCACAAGCAUGUAUUUUUAUGAUCUUUAUCCUAUUUUGCUCUACUUUUCCUUUCUCUUUUUAAGACAUCAGCAUUGGCCACCCAGGACUUAAGAGGAAUUUUCAUAUAAAGCAUAGUCUGUGAUGGGAACAACUUGCACAGGAGCUUUGGGAACUGUGAACCUCUGUGUGAACAUGACACAGGGAGAGGGGACAUUAGAUAUGCUAAUAUUUGAGUAGCCUUCUGGCCUCUAAUUGUUCACCAGCCUCAAUCAAUAAGAUUUUGGUAGGUCGUAGGUAUGUGCAGUUGCACCCCGUGUAGGGUUCCUGUCCUUUUGACGUUAGGCUGGGUGUUCCCCUGUCUAUUGAGCAAGUUCCUAAGGUCUUGAGAGUGAGGGCAGAGGGAUGCCUGUUGUAUAGCAUCGUUGGUUUGCGUUAAAUUCUUCAGUUCAGUUAUUGAUGCUGUUUUUAUUCAUCCUCAAUUUGAAGAUUAUAUUCAUGCCAUGCAAGUGGUUUCCAUAUUCUUCUUUUUAAAAUAUCAAUACAGUAAAAUUAUAAAAACAUACCACAUUCAUGAAAGUUUCCUUCCAGAGUAUAGAUGCAGAUGGUAUUAUUAUUAUUAUUAUUAUUAUUAUUAUUAUUAUUAUUAUUAUUAUUUUGCUUUUUAGGGCCUCACCUGCAGCAUCUGGAAGUUCCCAGGCUAAGGUAGGUUGGCCGCUAUAGCUCCAAUUAGACCCCUAGCCUGGGAGCCUCCAUAUGUCACAGGUGUGGCCCUAAAAAAAAAAAAAGUGAAAAGAGAAAAAAAAGAAAUUAAGGGCUUAGCGAUGCCAUGUAACAGAUUACGUGAACACAGUGGAUCUGUUUGUUUUUAUUCUUUGGUCUCAUUAAGUGGAAGCUUGUGUUUUUCUCCUCCUGCCAUCAUGAACCGCCCCCCCCCAUUCCCACCCAAGAUGGAAGUGCAUUAAUAGCCUGAAAAUAAAGGACAGGCUUUUUCUAAGCUCCUCUUUUAGCAAACUGUCUACUAGUCCCUUCAGAAAAUGAGCUCUGUCACAUUGAUGCUCUUUAAGAGAAAAGCAAUUUUUCUUACUCAAUUUGCCCAAUUGUCAAGAAAUUCUACUCUGCUAUAAGUGAUCAGGUUUGGUUAAAGUCGAGAGAAAUACAUACAAAAGGUCAUAUUUUACUCCUUUGUGGUUGGCUUUCAAAGGAUGCUUUGAUUCGAAAACCAAGCAGUCACUGUUAACAUGAUGAGGUCUUAAAACAAGUGUUUUUCUGCCCCCAUCACAGACAUAUCUGAAAAAGGCCCCUCUUCUCCCAAACCCCAGGGAUGACACUCAGAGGCUGUGUCUUCUGUGUCUCAGCGCCCAGGAGGGAAGAUCAUUUCCAUAUUUGAAAUUUAGGGGCAAGCGGAAAUAACUUUGUUUUUCUCAAAGGGUUAAUACUCUAAACAGCUUCAGAUUGGUUCACUCGCAUCUUAAAAUUACUUUUCUGGUCACGCGCACUGAAGGUCUAAGCAUUUGUGAAAUGUCUUUUUCUUUUUCUUCCUCCCGAUGCUGUGCUGUUCUCUUCUGGCUGUCUUAAUUACACAGGGGUUGAGAAACCAAAUUAAAAUUAGGCGUGGCUGGUAAACAGCGAUCACGUUGCCUGCUUUCAGCUUUGCUUGUUGGAGUUACUUCUCCUUGUAUCACUUUCCUUCCCACUUUUUUUUUUUCCAAAGGAAAUAUCAUGAGCUCUUUUAGAAAUACUCACAGGAAGUGAGUGUCCACACGCCGGUUAUUCACCAGCUGAGCGCUGACAGGUGGAGGUACUGCUGCUGCCCUCCCAGAUUUAUUUGAGCAUUUCCACCAGAGCAGGGGAGUACUCGGGGUAUACAGACCAAAGGGGUUUUGUGUACUGAGGGAGUUGUGAGAGGAAAUUGGUCAUCGCUCGUCAUCGUGGUGGACAGUGACUCAGGGAGCUGUGAUGAGGGGUCAGCAAGGCACGUGGCCGCCGUCUCUGAGGUCUCUGCUCCCUGCUCAGGGGGCGGGCUGUCUUCUAAAAAUGAAUGCUCCCUCCACCGCCAGCAACGAUUCUUGUGCAGUGAAUCACUUCCAGAAAUGAAUAGCCACAGUUUUUUGGAAUGAAUGUUGUGAAAUCCCUCGUUUAUAAUGGCAGGUUUUCCGUUGGUGGUUUUUAUCAGAGAGAAUUUCUCAAGAUCAAAACGAAACCUCCUCUUUACAAAGAAAGAAAGUACUCUCGAUACAGAAAGCAAAAGUAUUUCCACUCUCCUCCUGACGAGCUGUCACAGAAGAUCUCUGUACCUGUGUUUAGAGAUCCACGUCCAUGUACUUGCCUGAACGCACGAGUCCUUGAAAUCAUGGGUUCAUUGCCGUAACUGGUGGUCUCCUAUGCAGCAGGUUGCUAACUCCGAGCAGUGUUAUGUGCGGUGAGUAGGUGGUAGACUCCGAAGAUCAUUGCUAAUCCAGUGUUCGUCCUCUUGAGUCAUGGAUUCAGAGGACUGCCAGCAAGCUCUUAAAUACUUGCUGUGCCUUAUAUGAUUUAAUGCAUGGAGCUGCAAGACUCCCAGAAGCCUGUGAAAGGUUUUGCAGAGCGUGGAUUAAUUGAAUAAUCUUUUGAAUAUACUAGUCCUUGGGAGGAAGAAAGGAUGUCUUACAGAAGGAAGCAGUUUGUGGGAGUCUCUUAGAGCUACAGUUACUGCUCUCCUCUAUUUUAAGUGUCACUCUAUCCUCUUGUGUGAAAGAAAUAAAUGACUGCAUGGUUUAAUGGAGAAGAAGUUACGCCAGCUCUUUUGAAAUGAAGAGACCUUCACCCACGUGUUACUCCUCGCUGGACUGUCGUCCUCCUGCCUCUUCACACAGAGCAAGUUUCCACGAGCGAGGCUCCCCGUCUGGCAGCAUCAGUGAUGCGCCUCAUCCAGAACCCAGUGGGCCCGCCAUGGGUUACUGGCAGCACUUUUAUCGAGGGGCAAAGAGAGGAAAUCCAGUUCCUGGAAACAGGGAGUGCAGUUUCAGAAAUCCUUCUCCCUCCCGAGUGGAGAAGUUGUUUGACCUACUGACUCAUUUCAUAGGAAUUGGGAAAACAACCUAGUGUGGUUUUCAUUGUUCAUCCUGGAGGCUUCCAAAAUCUGCGUCUGUGCAAAUAAGAUGAGCUGGAGAAAGGUAGUGUUGCCACUUGCUGUUUCUACCUGCCUGGUCUCCCGAUGGGAUUCAGCCUCUUGCUUCCAGCGCAAGUCCAGCCUGUGCCUGGGGCUCCGUUGUGUGCCUGUCCAGUGGUGAGUACGGAUGACAGCAUUGUCUGAUUUUACGAGUUCUUGCUUCUAAAUUUCUAAAUGGCAUUUCAUCGCAGGAAAAGCUUUAAAGAGCCUUUUUCCCCCGGCACAUUUAUAUUACAUUUUAUAUUGACCUGUAGAAAAUACUCUAGGUGUGGUGAUAAUUAUAAAAAGACCACAGAACCCGUAGACAACAAUGAAAGUUAAGAGUUAAGAGAUCUUUUGAAAAACAGAUUUUUUUUAGCGUAUUGACACGAGGGCAGUUUUGAUUUUGACACAUUUAUAUUAAGUGAUUUUUGGGGGUAGUGUUAUUUAUAACACAAGUAUGGAAGAUAAUAGUAUAUUUUAACAAAAUAAUAUAAUUACUACUAGUUAAUAAUGAAAGGCAUGUCUUUCUGGCUAGCAGCAUAAUGUUUACAUGCAGAGGAUCUUUUGAUUUAUGACAUUUUGGUUUUAAUCUACUGUUAUCAAAUAAGCUAAAAGUAUCCAAAGAAGACAGAGUAUAUUAACUUGGAUAAAAGUAGAAGCUGAGAGGUGCUUGAAGUGAUUAAUAUUUGAAGUGUUAGAUUAUGGCCUCCGUAUCAUUUCAUUUAUGCCAAGUCCCCCAGAUCAUACUCAAGAUAUGAUCUUCAGCAUUGCAGCUGAUGCUUAGUGUAUAAUUAUCAUAGAGUUUCUCAUUCUCUUCGGAGAUGGCCGAGGAGAACGUUGACUUGGUCACACUAGCGCUUUCUCUUCAGCAAACAGCGUUGCGUCUGAAACGCCUUAGAGGCGGAGUUCUUAACCUUUCCAGGGUGUGGGGCCCCUGUGAGGUUGCGAUGGACACUGGAAGUCGUCUCACUACACGCACGCACAAGCAUUUGCCCGCAUUUUCAGGGCAUUUGCAGCUACAGUGAAGCACACCCGGGACCCCGGGCGCGGGUUGCCACCUGGCAUGAGACCACACUGUGAUCUUUCCAUCCCUUGGUUUCGCAGCAGACACUGGGAUCGAAAGGGGCGGCAGCCAAGUCGAAAAUAAGUCAUCCUCUGUGGUUGCUCAGUGGGGAUGCAAAGCCCGAGAAAAGGAGGAAGGGUGGAGAAAAUAUGUGACUAAUACUAAACAAACAAAGAGAAUCCUUAGUAUUAUCACAACCACCGAACAGCCCAGAAGCCCCAGACGUCUAACCUUGGGUGUUGGGAAAGUACAAGGUGAAUUCCAGUGGAUACUUCAAGAUUCAGUGUUAAACAACUGGAGAGAGUUUUCCUUCUAAGUAAUGAAGUCUCUUUUCUUUUUUUCCAUAUGUAUGUUACCAAAUUAGAUCAGACCACAAACCAUCUGAACCCCAGCAGUAUAAAUAAUAACCGUUGUAACAAACUGGAGAAAUGGUUCUACUUGAGCAGAUUUGGGUGGGGAUAGAUAGAAGGUAGCUUAGCUGAGUACACAAAGACCUUAUUUAAAAAAAAAAAAAAAAAAAAAA